rnacentral:rRNA from 1 species
UCGAACGAUGAACCUCCUUCGGGAGGGGAUUAGUGGCGAACGGGUGAGUAACACGUGGGCAAUCUGCCCUGCACUCUGGGACAAGCCCUGGAAACGGGGUCUAAUACCGGAUACGAGCCUCCACCGCAUGGUGGGGGUUGGAAAGCUCCGGCGGUGCAGGAUGAGCCCGCGGCCUAUCAGCUUGUUGGUGAGGUAACGGCUCACCAAGGCGACGACGGGUAGCCGGCCUGAGAGGGCGACCGGCCACACUGGGACUGAGACACGGCCCAGACUCCUACGGGAGGCAGCAGUGGGGAAUAUUGCACAAUGGGCGAAAGCCUGAUGCAGCGACGCCGCGUGAGGGAUGACGGCCUUCGGGUUGUAAACCUCUUUCAGCAGGGAAGAAGCGAGAGUGACGGUACCUGCAGAAGAAGCGCCGGCUAACUACGUGCCAGCAGCCGCGGUAAUACGUAGGGCGCAAGCGUUGUCCGGAAUUAUUGGGCGUAAAGAGCUCGUAGGCGGCUUGUCACGUCGGUUGUGAAAGCCCGGGGCUUAACCCCGGGUCUGCAGUCGAUACGGGCAGGCUAGAGUUCGGUAGGGGAGAUCGGAAUUCCUGGUGUAGCGGUGAAAUGCGCAGAUAUCAGGAGGAACACCGGUGGCGAAGGCGGAUCUCUGGGCCGAUACUGACGCUGAGGAGCGAAAGCGUGGGGAGCGAACAGGAUU